GGCUCAGGAUGAACGCUGGCGGCGUGCUUAACACAUGCAAGUCGAACGAAGCACUUUAUUACGAUUUCUUCGGAAUGACGAUUUAGUGACUGAGUGGCGGACGGGUGAGUAACGCGUGGGUAACCUGCCUUAUACAGGGGGAUAACAGUUAGAAAUGACUGCUAAUACCGCAUAAGCGCACGGUAUCGCAUGAUACAGUGUGAAAAACUCCGGUGGUAUAAGAUGGACCCGCGUCUGAUUAGCUUGUUGGUGAGGUAACGGCCCACCAAGGCGACGAUCAGUAGCCGGCCUGAGAGGGUAAACGGCCACAUUGGGACUGAGACACGGCCCAAACUCCUACGGGAGGCAGCAGUGGGGAAUAUUGCACAAUGGGGGAAACCCUGAUGCAGCGACGCCGCGUGAGUGAUGAAGUAUUUCGGUAUGUAAAACUCUAUCAGCAGGGAAGAUAAUGACGGUACCUGACUAAGAAGCACCGGCUAAAUACGUG
rnacentral:rRNA from 1 species